rnacentral:lncRNA from 1 species
UUCUCAGUAGGGCUUUUUUAAGAGUCAGAUUGAAGUUGCUGUGAAAGAAGAGGAAGAGAAUGAGAUUGAGAGUGGAAACCCUAAUUUACCGGUGUCGAGUGAGGCCUAAGAAGAUAUGAAAUGGUCGCCAUGGUUGAUACCAAUGCUUGGAUUGUAUGAAUCACACCAUCUGCUCUCUCUGUCUCAAUCAUCACAAGGACCACCGAAACAUGUUGAAUUUGACCACCGGAAAUAAAAGAAAACUUCCCUGCUUGGAAUGCAAAUAAGUUGAAGAAGAAGCUAAGACAAGAAUAAAUUUGCAAAGAGCACUGGAAAGAGCUUUCAUUAUACAACUUCACCUCAUCUUCCUACACAGGUUUCCACUUUAUUCGACAACCUUGAAACGAAGUACAAAGUUAAUGAGCGCGUUAAAAGCUAAAGUUUUGAAGAUUGAUGAAGAAAGACGAAGUUCAUGUAGUUUUCAGCCAAUGUAAAAUCUGAGUAUCUAAAUGCAUUGACAAAAUUGCUCAUAAUUUACAAGAAUCAAGAUUUGGGUUCUCAUAUGUGAUAAAAUGGAAAAAAAGCAACUAAAAUAUGGGAAUAUCAGCAGGAGGGACUACAAAGAUUGUGGUGAACGGGUCAACCG